rnacentral:rRNA from 1 species
ACGAAGGGGGCUAGCGUUGCUCGGAAUUACUGGGCGUAAAGCGCACGUAGGCGGAUUGUUAAGUCAGGGGUGAAAGCCUGGAGCUCAACUCCAGAACUGCCCUUGAUACUGGCAAUCUCGAGUCCGGAAGAGGUAAGUGGAACUCCGAGUGUAGAGGUGAAAUUCGUAGAUAUUCGGAAGAACACCAGUGGCGAAGGCGGCUUACUGGUCCGGUACUGACGCUGAGGUGCGAAAGCGUGGGGAGCAAACAGGA